rnacentral:rRNA from 1 species
GCUAUCACAUGCGAGUCGACGGAAACGACAACAUUGAAUCUUCGGAGGAUUUGUUGGGCGUCGAGCGGCGGACGGGUGAGUAAUGCCUAGGAAAUUGCCUUGAUGUGGGGGAUAACCAUUGGAAACGAUGGCUAAUACCGCAUAAUGCCUACGGGCCAAAGAGGGGGAUCUUCGGACCUCUCGCGUCAAGAUAUGCCUAGGUGGGAUUAGCUAGUUGGUGAGGUAAUGGCUCACCAAGGCGACGAUCCCUAGCUGGUCUGAGAGGAUGAUCAGCCACACUGGAACUGAGACACGGUCCAGACUCCUACGGGAGGCAGCAGUGGGGAAUAUUGCACAAUGGGCGAAAGCCUGAUGUAGCCAUGCCGCGUGUAUGAAGAAGGCCUUCGGGUUGUAAAGUACUUUCAGUUGUGAGGAAGGGGGUAACGUUAAUAGCGUUAUCUCUUGACGUUAGCAACAGAAGAAGCACCGGCUAACUCCGUGCCAGCAGCCGCGGUAAUACGGAGGGUGCGAGCGUUAAUCGGAAUUACUGGGCGUAAAGCGCAUGCAGGUGGUUCAUUAAGUCAGAUGUGAAAGCCCGGGGCUUAACCUCGGAACUGCAUUUGAAACUGGUGAACUAGAGUGCUGUUAAAGGGG